UGAAAGUUAUACAUUCUCUGUUUGUUUAUCGUCCGUUCCCUCUUCGUUGAUUUACACCUUUAAGCAUUCCUGUAGUUGUUUAGACCUAGCAUAGUGCAAUCUCACUUGGUAGGAAUGAUGAGAAUCGAAAGCAUUCGCAAGAAUGAACCUGUAUUAAGACAGUCCGAAACCAGCUUAGAUUUGCCAUUUUUAGGGCUAGACUAUGAACUAAAGAUUAUCAGCAUGCACAUGUAAUGUAAAACAUUUGUUUGUUAAGGUUGUCUUUGUAGUAUUUCUUAUGUGAUCUUCUGUCUAGUAUUCAUACUAAAUAUUCUCUUUCUGAUGAUGACUCAACGAAGUAAUUGUUUAAGAGUUGCCUUUUUUUAAUAUUCCAGUUGCAUUAUUCAGUCCCAAAGCUGUUAUCUAUGAUCGUAACUUCCACGAAAUUAAUGAAAACUUCACUUUGAACCUUUUUAUUAAGGGUUAAUUGCAUAUAAUAUCACGAACUUUGCUCGAAAU
rnacentral:lncRNA from 1 species